rnacentral:rRNA from 1 species
AUUGAACGCUGGCGGCAUGCUUUACACAUGCAAGUCGAACGGCAGCGCGGGCUUCGGCCUGGCGGCGCGUGGCGAACGGGUGAGUAAUACAUCGGAACGUGCCCCGUAGUGGGGGAUAGCUCGGCGAAAGCCGGAUUAAUACCGCCUACGACCUGCGGGUGAAAGCGGGGGAUCUUCGGACCUCGCGCUCUUGGAGCGGCGGAUGGCCGGUUAGCUAGUUGGUGGGGUAAAGGCCUACCUAGGCGACGAUCGGUAGGUGGUCUGAGAGGACGACCAGCCACACGGGGAGUGAGACACGGCCCAGACUCCUACGGGAGGCAGCAGUGGGGAAUUUUGGACAAUGGGCGAAAGCCUGAUCCAGCAAUGCCGCGUGUGUGAUGAAGGCCUUCGGGUUGGAAAGCACUUUUGGCGGGAACGAAAAGGACUGUGCCAAUACCACGGUUCGAUGACGGUACCCGCAGAAUAAGCACCGGCUAACUACGUG